rnacentral:rRNA from 1 species
CAGGAUGAACGCUAGCUACAGGCUUAACACAUGCAAGUCGAGGGGCAUCACUGAGGUAGCAAUACCUCUGGUGGCGACCGGCGCACGGGUGAGUAACGCGUAUCCAACCUUCCCCCCAGUAGGGCAUAGCCCGGCGAAAGUCGGAUUAAUACCCUAUGUUUUCCCAUGAUAGCAUUUGAAAGGGAAGAAAGAUUCAUCGCUGGGGGAUGGGGAUGCGUCCGAUUAGGCAGCAGGCGGGGUAACGGCCCACCUGGCCCGCGAUCGGUAGGGGUUCUGAGAGGAAGGUCCCCCACAUUGGAACUGAGACACGGUCCAAACUCCUACGGGAGGCAGCAGUGAGGAAUAUUGGUCAAUGGGCGCAGGCCUGAACCAAGCCAAGUAGCGUGAGGGACGACGGCCCUAUGGGUUGUAAACCUCUUUUGCAGGGGAAUAAAGUGCGGGACGCGUCCCGUUUUGUAUGUACCCUGAGAAUAAGGACCGGCUAAUUCCGUGCCAGCCGCCGC